rnacentral:snRNA from 2 species
ACGCUUGCUCUACAGCAUAUACACUAAAAAUUAGAAUGAUACAGAGGAAGAUCAGCAUGGCCUCUGCUCAAAUAUGGCAUGCAAAUUUGUGAAGCAUUCUGUAUUUUU